rnacentral:rRNA from 1 species
AGUGAACGCUGGCGGUAGGCCUAACACAUGCAAGUCGAACGGCAGCACAGUAAGAGCUUGCUCUUACGGGUGGCGAGUGGCGGACGGGUGAGGAAUACAUCGGAAACUACUUUUUCGUGGGGGAUAACGUAGGGAAACUUACGCUAAUACCGCAUACGACCUACGGGUGAAAGCAUGGGAUCUUCGGACCUUGCGCGAUUGAAUGAGCCGAUGUCGGAUUAGCUAGUUGGCGGGGUAAAGGCCCACCAAGGCGACGAUCCGUAGCUGGUCUGAGAGGAUGAUCAGCCACACUGGAACUGAGACACGGUCCAGACUCCUACGGGAGGCAGCAGUGGGGAAUAUUGGACAAUGGGCGCAAGCCUGAUCCAGCCAUACCGCGUGGGUGAAGAAGGCCUUCGGGUUGUAAAGCCCUUUUGUUGGGAAAGAAAAGCAGCAGGUUAAUACCCCGCUGUUCUGACGGUACCCAAAGAAUAAGCACCGGCUAACUUCGUG